UGAUGGAGGUGUGGCCAAAAUAACAGGCUGCAACUGAUUCUUUUCAUUAUUGAUUAAUCAGCUUUUGAGAUUGUCGGUCUCGUCCACGCCAGUCGCAGGCAGGGAGUGUGACAGCACAUACGAGACAUAUGGUCUUUAUCAUUGUGUUUUCUCUACAGCCUUUUAAUUGAACAAUAGGUGGGUUUCACGUGACGUCACGUUGCUGCAUCGCGAACUCCAGAUGGAGGGCAGGAAGUGAAGUAGCUUGUGGAAGUGUGAAGUGCCAACUGAAAACAUGCCUAUGUUUUGUGUCGUAUACGGCUGCUCCAAUCGUUCUAACCGAGAAAAGGGGUUUUAUAGAGUAGCCUACCAAAGAUUGUCGUUCACAAAGGUGAGAAAUGUGAAUAGCUCACAGAACAGAACAACGCCGUAAAAAGUGGAUUUUAAACCUAUGUCUGCAGUCGGGAGGAGCAGUCUGUUUAUUCCCGUGUCUGCAGCGACCACUUCAUCAGAGGCUAUGCAGAUGCCGGAUGCCAAACUGAGCUAACGAUGGAUGACAUCGAGAAGAUGGAGGAUGUUCUGAGACAGAACUCAACAGAGCUGGUAGAUCUUCGGACCAAGACACUGGACACAGUUCAACCAGGAGUCCUUUGAAAAAAAAUUAAGAAAAGACUAAGGGCUCCCCAACUUCUUAGUUUUAUUUCAGAUUUUUGAGCUGUGCGAGCGGCGAGCCCUACAUCACCUGUGGCCCUAUGUCUGUGUUGUCUAAAUUUGAACAGUUGGUUUUAGUUUUUCUGAGGCUGAGACUAAAAUCUCCCGCUGAAAGAUUUAGCUUUCAGGUUCAAGAUCUCUCUGCCCACUGCUUCUAGAGUUUGGCAUAAAAUAAUUGACAUACUCCAUGAAAGGUUAGAAUUUCAAAUUGAGUGGCCAGAGCGACAUGUACUUCAAGCUACAAUGCCAAUGGGAUUCAGACAGUCAUUUGGACGUAGAGUUGCUGUGAUAAUUGACUGUUUCGAAGUUUUUAUUGAGAGGCCCUCUAAUUUACUUGCCAAAGCACAGACAUGGUCUAACUACAAGCAUUACCAUACUGUAAAAUUUCUGAUUGGUGAUGCACCCCAAGGCUAUGUCCCUUACAUAUCUUGUGCCUGGGGAGGGAGAGUCAUAGAAUAGAGAGUGAGUGGCCUCCUUAAAAACCUGUUACCCGGGAUGUUGUCCUAGCAGACCGUGGGUUUAAUAUUGGUGAUAUUGUUGGAUUUUACUGUGCUUCUCUACAGAUACCUGCAUUCACCGAAGGGAGAAAACAGCUUACGAGGUGGCAGAAACUAGAAAUAUAGCGAAUUUGCGUAUUCAUGUCGAGAGAGUCAUAGAUUUAGUCAGAAGAAAAUAUCAGAUUCUGCAAAGCAGGGCUAUGCCCAUAGAGAACAUGGCAGCAAAAUCAGGUGAGGCACUAGCAUUGAUUGACACGAUUGGGGUUAUUUGCUGUGUCUUGUCUAAUCUUUCAGAGUCUGUCGUCCCAUUGCAGUAAGGAGGGGGGGCAGAGGUGAAGAGAGGAGGCAGGGGGAUAGGGAUAAUCAGUCCAGUACCUGAGCCCUAAAACAUGUUGGUCUGGGGCACCUGCUUGGCUCACAGGAGGGGGGGGGGGGGAAGGGGAGGAGUAUACAGUAGUAGUAGUUUCAUCUGACACACAUCAGUCUGUAAACAUGUUAUUCUCUCAAUAUUUUUCUCCACUAGUCCAAUUGUACUGGCGAUAUGUAUUUUAUAUAAUGAAAUGGAUUCCAAUGUAUUAUUGCACAUAUUGUAUUUAUUAUAACAAUUGUUAAAACAUCUAAUCUUGUAGAUAAACCAUGUAUUAUUCUGUAUUCUCAA